rnacentral:rRNA from 1 species
AUGCUUCGUAUGAGAGCAAAUGACUCUAAUUCAUCCACGCCUACGAAUUGGUCGGCAUUUUGUACAAUUUUUACAAAUGAAAGCUCUUAUUUUCAUAUUUUUGUAUCUUUCUUAAACUAUGAAUCUAAUCUUUUGAAAAAAAAGUCUCUUCGGUAG